GACGAACCUUGCUAACGUUAUUCGGAAUUACUGGGCUUAAAGGGUGCGUAGGCGGUGCAGAAAGUCGGGUGUGAAAUCCCCCAGCUCAACUGGGGAACUGCGCCCGAAACUGCUGUGCUAGAGGAAGAUAGAGGUACGCGGAACUUAGGGUGGAGCGGUGAAAUGCGUAGAUAUCUGGAGGAACACCGGUGGCGAAGGCGGCAUCCUGGACCGACACUGACACUGAGGAGCGAAAGCCAGGGGAGCAAACGGG
rnacentral:rRNA from 1 species